UACGUAGGGACCGAGCGUUGUCCGGAAUCAUUGGGCGUAAAGAGCGUGUAGGCGGCCACUUAAGUCCUGCGUGAAAUCUUGCGGCUCAACCGCAAGCGGUCGUGGGAAACUGGGUGGCUAGAGUGCGGGAGAGGAGAGUGGAAUUCCUGGUGUAGCGGUGGAAUGCGCAGAUAUCAGGGAGAACACCCGUGGCGAAGGCGGCUCUCUGGAACGCAACUGACGCUGAGACGCGAAAGCGUGGGGAGCAAACAGG
rnacentral:rRNA from 1 species